GUCGCGAAAGCGCCGAAGGCAGGAGCGGGGGACCCAGGUUUGUGCCGGUCCCGUCCGAAAGCCCGUGAGGGCGGUGGACGACCGGCUUGGGGUGAAGCCGUACGACGCAGGUCGUACGGCCGGGCAACUCACUGCGCCCGAACCCGACAGCUCACCUCGUAGGCGUCGGUGAGGAGAACC
rnacentral:sRNA from 2 species